UCCCCCGGCCGGUUUGAACGUAAUUCUUCUCGCUACUUUUUGAUCAAAUUGUCCCAAUUGUCCCAAUACCCUGAAAUUGUCGGUUUGUACGAUAAUUACACGCUUAAUAGCACAAUAACAUAUUGUCACUGUAUGGGUACAACGAGAUGCCCUUCUGUUGAAGCCUCAGUAAAGACUGUAAAGUUUAAGAAUAUAGAAUAGAAUAACAUAAUAAUCACAGUGUAAUGUAGUUUUAACCGUAUUAUUUAUUUAGCGCCAUAUUCCCUUCUAUCUCAGUCGUGUUCCUGGCUUAACGGCAAUUCGCUCCAUCAGGACCGGAGCCCCCUGUGAAAACCCACAUGGACACGGGGAGAGUGUGCAGACUCCACACAGAAAGGACCCAGGACCAAACCCAGGAUUAUCUUGCUAUAUGUUCUUCAAAAAACUUUGGGACACUACAGUUCUACCGAGAUCAUAGGAGACCUGGAUGGUAUCCCUGGUGACACUGCUGGGGUACAUUCCGGAUGGGAUGCCAGCCUAUCACAGGAAACAUAUG